rnacentral:ncRNA from 1 species
AGCCGUUAUCACGAAUCUCAUAAUAUGAGAUAGCAACCUGCAACAACGAGCAAGGUGCUAAAACGAUAAGCCAAAUCCUUUGGAAAAAAUGUUGUUUUU